rfam:Gossypium raimondii chromosome 7, whole genome shotgun sequence.
AAAUUGUGGUGUGGGCAUUUUUAAAUCAGCAUUUUGAAGCGUUCCCAUGCUUCGUGAAAACUCUCCCCUUCUAACUAUUGAAACAUCGAAAUUUCCCUUAUUAUUU